rfam:Schistosoma curassoni strain Dakar, Senegal genome assembly, scaffold: SCTD_contig0011805
AUCCAGCUGACGAGUGUCAGAUGAGAUGAAACGCGUGUCCUGGAU